rnacentral:rRNA from 1 species
UUGGCGGACGGGUGAGUAACGCGUGGGUAACCUGCCUCACACUGGGGGAUAACAGUUAGAAAUAGCUGCUAAUACCGCAUAAGCGCACGGUUCCGCAUGGAACAGUGUGAAAAACUCCGGUGGUGUGAGAUGGACCCGCGUCUGAUUAGGUAGUUGGUGGGGUAACGGCCUACCAAGCCGACGAUCAGUAGCCGACCUGAGAGGGUGACCGGCCACAUUGGGACUGAGACACGGCCCAG